rnacentral:rRNA from 1 species
CCUACGGGGGGCUGCAGUGGGGGAUAUUGCACAAUGGGGGCAACCCUGAUGCAGCGACGCCGCGUGAGCGAUGGAGUACUUCGGUAUGUAAAGCUCUGUCAGCAGGGAAGAGAAUGACGGUACCUGACCAAGAAGCCCCGGCUAAAUACGUGCCAGCAGUCGCGGUAAUACGUAUGGGGCAAGCGUUAUCCGGAUUUACUGGGUGUAAAGGGAGCGUAGGCGGCAGGGCAAGCCUGAUGUGAAAGCCCGGGGCUCAACCCCGGGACUGCAUUGGGAACUGCCCCGCUCGAGUGCCGGAGGGGCAGGCGGAAUUCCUAGUGUAGCGGUGAAAUGCGUAGAUAUCGCGCAGAACCCCGAUUGCGAAGGCAGCGUGCCGUGCCGCCACUGACGCUGAGGCACGAAAGCGCGGGGAUCGAACAGGAUUAGAUACCCUAGUAGUC